rfam:Arachidicoccus sp. BS20, complete genome.
UAUGGUGGUUAAUCCGAGGGUGUUCACCUCUUCCCAUACCGAACAGAGAAGUUAAGCCCCUCAUGGCCGAUGGUACUCGGGCUAUGUCCCCGGAAGAGUAGGUAGCUGCCGUAA